rnacentral:misc_RNA from 1 species
UCUCUCUCUCUCUCUCUCUCUCUCUUCUGUUUUGAAGAAAAGCAUGAGGUAGAAGAGAAACAAAGAGAUGGGUUUUGAUAAGUUGGAUUGGAAAUCCAACAAAAAUUAAAAAAAAAAAGAAAGAAAAGAAAAGAAAACGAAAAAAGGGGGGAAAAAUAAUUCUAAACCAUCGAACCCACCCCCACCACCAAAUGGAACUCACCGAUAUGCAAAGCAACAAGAAAAAUAAUAACGCCCAAGAACCCCACCAAUCUCACCACCAGCAA